AACGUAGGACGCAAGCGUUAUCCGGAGUUACUGGGCGUAAAGCGCGAGCAGGCGGCUCGACAAGUUCGCUGUGAAAGCUCCCGGCUCAACCGGGCGAGGCCAGUGGAAACUAUCGAGCUGGAGGGCAGUAGAGGCAGGCGGAAUUCCGGGUGGAGUGGUGAAAUGCGUAGAGAUCCGGAGGAACACCAGUGGCGAAGGCGGUCUGCUGGGCCGUGGGAUCGCAAGGUCCCGGAGCUGACACUGAGGCGCGACAGCGUGGGGAGCAAACAGG
rnacentral:rRNA from 1 species